CCUACGGGUGGCAGCAGUGGGGAAUCUUGCGCAAUGGGCGAAAGCCUGACGCAGCGACGCCGCGUGAGGGAUGAAGGUCUUCGGAUCGUAAACCUCUGUUAGCAGGGAAGAACAGACGCUGAUCUAACUAGCAGCGACUUGACGGUACCUGCUCAGGAAGCACCGGCUAACUCCGUGCCAGCAGCCGCGGUAAUACGUAGGGUGCGAGCGUUAUUCGGAAUUAGUGGGCGUAAAGCGCGCGUAGGCGGUAUGUCAAGUCUGGGGUGAAAUCCCCGGGCUCAACGUGGGAACUGCAUUUGAAACUGGAAAACUGGAGUGUGGGAGAGGAAAGUGGAAUUCCAGGUGUAGGGGUGAAAUGCGUAGAUAUAUGGAGGAACAUCAGUGGCGAAGGCGACUAUCUGGCACAUAACUGACGCUGAGGUGCGAAAGCGUGGGGAGCAAACAGGAUUAGAUACCCCUGUAGUC
rnacentral:rRNA from 1 species